rnacentral:lncRNA from 1 species
AUGGGGACGGGACGGGACGGGGACGGGGACGGGGAGGGGACGGGGCCGGGCAGGCUCGCGCGGGGCUCGGGCGGCGCUGGAACAACAGCCGGGGCGCUGCGCGUCUGCCCCGGGGCGGGGGGCUCACUAAGGGGCCGCCCAGUUCCGGCCUUUCCGAGCCUCAGUUUCCCUCCCGUGGGAUCCCCGCAGUGUGAAGCGUGUCGAGCCCUCACCGCCGGAGCCCCCGAGGGCUGCGCUGCCGCACACGCACACGCGCGUGCCCCAGUCGGUCCCGUCCCCGCGGGGCGAGCGGAGCAGCCGGGGCAGGUGACCUCGCUCGCGGGCGGCUCCCGGGGGCGCGGGGGCGCGGGGUGCGCGGAGAAGUGUGCGCCCGAGCGACCCUCGGGGCUGUCCGGCUCUGGCGGCCGCCCAGGACCAGCGCCCCCGGGACACGGGAAGGGGGAAGGGCGAGGCCGGGUGACUCCGGGGCUCACCUGCGGGCUCGGCGCCGGGGCUGCCCGGGUCCCCUCCGUGGGAGCGGACGGUGGGACGAGGCAUCGCCGAGGCUGCGGAGGCCCGGGGGAGGCAGCAUCCGGAGGACGUAGGGGGGUGUCCUGGGAGUGUGCUGGGGUGUCCUGGGGGUGUCCUGGAGUGUCCUGGGGGUGUCCUGGGGGUGUUCUGGGGUGUGCUGGGGUGUCUUGGGGCUGUGCUGGCGCUGUACUGGGGCUGUGCUGGGGCUGUGCUGCGCCUGUGCUGGGGCUGUGCUGGGGCUGUCCUGGGAUUGUGCUGGGGCUGUGCUGGGGGUGUACUGGGGCUGUGCUGGGGCUGUGCUGGGGGUGUACUGGGGCUGUGCUGGGGCUGUGCUGGGGGUGUACUGGGGCUGUGCUGGGGCUGUGCUGGGGGUGUACUGGGGCUGUGCUGCGCCUGUGCUGGGGCUGUGCUGGGGCUGUCCUGGGAUUGUGCUGGGGCUGUGCUGGGGGUGUACUGGGGCUGUGCUGGGGCUGUGCUGGGGGUGUACUGGGGCUGUGCUGGGGCUGUGCUGGGGGUGUACUGAGGCUGUGCUGGGGCUGUGCUGGGGGUGUACUGGGGCUGUGCUGGGGCUGUGCUGCGCCUGUGCUGGGGCUGUGCUGGGGCUGUCCUGGGAUUGUGCUGGGGCUGUGCUGGGGCUGUGCUGGGGGUGUACUGGGGCUGUGCUGGGGCUGUGCUGGGAUUGUGCUGGGGCUGUGCUAG